rnacentral:RNase_P_RNA from 1 species
UAUCUGAGAUGAUAAUAAUGUUUGUGCAGGUAUAUAAAAAAUAAAACCUGGUACAUACUUUAAGUAUGUAACGACAUUUUAUAAACCUAAGUCUUUUGAUAAGGUUUGUGAAUCUAAAGUGCCACAGAGACGAGUUGUAAUGAAAGUUACAAUGUGAAACGCGGUAAACUCCUCAAGCU